rnacentral:rRNA from 1 species
AACGAACGCUGGCGGCGCGUCUUAAGCAUGCAAGUCGAACGGCAUGAGGAAGCUUGCUUCCUCAGAGAGUGGCGGACUGGUGAGUAACACGUGGGUGACCUACCUUGAGAUGGGGAUAGCCAUUAGAAAUAGUGGAUAAUACCGAAUACGCUCUACGGACUCUGGUUUGUAGAGGAAACAGGCUACGGCCUGGCUCGAGGAUGGGCCCGCGUCCCAUUAGCUAGUUGGUGAGGUAAGAGCCCACCAAGGCGACGAUGGGUAUCCGGCCUGAGAGGGUGUACGGACACAUUGGGACUGAGAUACGGCCCAAACUCCUACGGGAGGCAGCAGCUAAGAAUAUUCCGCAAUGGACGAAAGUCUGACGGAGCGACGCCGCGUGGAUGACGAAGGCCGAAAGGUUGUAAAAUCCUUUUGCUGAUGAAGAAUAAGCGUGGUAGGGAAUGACCGCGUGAUGACAUUAGUCGGUGAAUAAGCCCCGGCUAACUACGUG